UAGGGUGUAGUUCAGUGGUACAGCCCAUGCCUACAAUAUAUGACACUCUGGGUUCAUUCCCAGCACCUCAA
rnacentral:tRNA from 1 species